GAUGAACGCUGGCGGCGUGCUUAACACAUGCAAGUCGAACGGGAAACAUUUUAUUGAAGCUUCGGCAGAUUUAGCUUGUUUCUAGUGGCGGACGGGUGAGUAACGCGUGGGUAACCUGCCUUAUACUGGGGGAUAACAGCCAGAAAUGACUGCUAAUACCGCAUAAGCGCACAGAACCGCAUAGUUCGGUGUGAAAAACUCCGGUGGUAUAAGAUGGACCCGCGUUGGAUUAGCUAGUUGGCAGGGCAGCGGCCUACCAAGGCGACGAUCCAUAGCCGGCCUGAGAGGGUGAACGGCCACAUUGGGACUGAGACACGGCCCAGACUCCUACGGGAGGCAGCAGUGGGGAAUAUUGCACAAUGGGGGAAACCCUGAUGCAGCGACGCCGCGUGAAGGAAGAAGUAUCUCGGUAUGUAAACUUCUAUCAGCAGGGAAGAUAAUGACGGUA
rnacentral:rRNA from 1 species